rnacentral:misc_RNA from 1 species
AAGCAAUAAUCAGGCGAGAUGUGGUAACGGGGGGAGAGAGUUGGCAGCGGCAAGCGGCCCCAGGCUCAGUAUACCGCCACAAUACACGUUGCUCUUACGGGCAGCAGCGCGCUGCUCAAACCUCGGCCAGAGUCUGCUGGGCUCUAGUCUGUGCUCUACUUCAGUUUGUGCUCGACUCAGCCUGUUCACGACUCCAGCCUGUGCUCGACUCCAGCCUGUGCUCGACUCCAGCCUGUGCUCGACUCCAGCCUGUGCUCGACAAGACUUGGACAAGCCACUUGGAAACUGAGCUUGGUGGAGGGUCCUUGUGAGCCAGCCCUCGGUGAGGAGCAGUGUGGUGACGCCAGGUGAGGACCAGUGUUGGUGACGCCAGGUGAGGAGCAGUGUGGUGACGCCAGGUGAGGACCAGUGUUGGUGACGCCAGGUGAGGACCAGUGUGGUGACGCCAGGUGAGGACCAGUGUUGGUGACGCCAGGUGAGGACCAGUGUGGUGACGCCAGGUGAGGACCAGUGUUGGUGACGCCAGGUGAGGAGCAGUGUGGUGACGCCAGGUGAGGACCAGUGUUGGUGACGCCAGGUGAGGACCAGUGUGGUGACGCCAGGUGAGGACCAGUGUGGUGACGCCAGGUGAGGACCAGUGUGGUGACGCCAGGUGAGGACCAGUGUGGUGACGCCAGGUGAGGACCAGUGUGGUGACGCCAGGUGAUGACCAGUGUGGUGACGCCAGGUGAGGACCAGUGUGGUGACGCCAGGUGAGGUGCAGUGUGGUGACGCCAGGUGAGGACCAGUGUGGUGACGCCAGGUGAGGUGCAGUGUGGUGACGCCAGGUGAGGUGCAGUGUGGUGACGCCAGGUGAGGACCAGUGUGGUGACGCCAGGUGAGGACCAGUGUGGUGACGCCAGGUGAGGCGCAGUGUUGGUGACGCCAGGUGAGGACCAGUGUGGUGACGCCAGGUGAGGACCAGUGUGGUGACCAGUGUGGUGACGCCAGGUGAGGAGCAGUGUGGAGACGCCAGGGACCAGGAGGUGUGAGUGAUGACACUGCCACCACCCACCACACAUCACCCUCAUCAACUUGUUCUAACUACAGAGCGUGUCGUGGACGACGAGGACGACGACUGGUGCUACGUAGACUUUGGCGAUAUUCUCCAGGACCCACCUAAACCACCUCCAGCCUCACACUCCGACUCCAGACCCACCUCGCCAACCCAACACGACGCGUCUGAUGAGGACCUGGUCCUACCUAUAGCCUCACACUCCGACUCCAGACCCACCUCGCCAACCCAACACGACGCGUCUGAUGAGGACCUGGUCCUACCUAUAGCCUCACACUCCGACUCCAGACCCACCUCGCCAACCCAACACGACGCGUCUGAUGAGGACCUGGUCCUACCUAUAGCCUCACACUCCGACUCCAGACCCACCUCGCCAACCCAACACGACGCGUCUGAUGAGGACCUGGUCCUACCUAUAGCCUCACACUCCGACUCCAGACCCACCUCGCCAACCCAACACGACGCGUCUGAUGAGGACCUGGUCCUACCUAUAGCCUCACACUCCGACUCCAGACCCACCUCGCCAACCCAACACGACGCGUCUGAUGAGGACCUGGUCCUACCUAUAGCCUCACACUCCGACUCCAGACCCACCUCGCCAACUCAACACGACGCGUCUGAUGAAGACCUGGUCUUCUGUAAUGAGUACUUUGAAGAUGUGGUUGUGGGUCUCCGGAAGACAACCGACCAGCAGCAAAAGCAAACGCCACUCAUAGAGAUCUUAGUCACUGAGGUGGACUUGUCUGGAGAACAAACUUGCAAACCAGAAUCCAGAUUUCUUAACAGCAUGGAAGGUGUUCCAUGUGACUACAAUUUCGACGUCUACGACGAAAUGGAAGACGAGGACGACUCUCUCUUGCCUAGUGAUUUUCAUGGAUCCAAAUACUGCUUUUUGAACCAUGAUGUUGUGGACUUUUGGGGGAGGAAGAAAGACUUCUUGGGCAGCAGACAGCGCCGCAGACGGUCGCAGACUGUUCCACGCUCCUACGUGUAGACAGCAGAGAGCAGACACAUUUCAGUUCCCGUCUGGAGCCCUGAAGGUCGUCAGACGUGUGUACCUGAAUUCCCCUCACCCUGGAUCGCCCAGACUGUUAUACCCCGGGCUCAAGACUAGAUCAUCCAGGUCUAUAUCGUAUCCAUAUAUCAUGUCAUAUCCUAUAUAUAACACAUGGCGACAAUUAACAAAAACUGUCAUUCAGUUGACUAUGAUGGAAAGUUUGAGCUACUGUGAGGUUGAUCCCUGUCCAGUCCAUCCUCCUACGGUUUCCCACCGUCAAGAAACUGUCAUACUAAAGUGACUUAUCCUAACCUACCAGAGGACCCAAAACAGAAAACGGAACAGUAUGUCAAUUUCGCGAGCCGCUACUAUUUAUUAGUACGACAAUUUUUGCCUUAGGUAGAAUAUACGUCAAAAUACGACGCUCUAUAAGAACGACGGGUUGCAGCCGGCCAGUCUCCUGUAGAGGCUGGUCCCAAACCUGCACACAGAAAUAACAUCACAUGAGACCAGAAGACAUGGCAGGAUGUGCAGAAUACCCCCGUUGAAGAGCAGAGGUGCAACAGGUACUCUGAGAGAGAACUCUAUCAACAUC